CUCAGUCUUUAGCUGGGAUGCAGAGGAGGAGCUCCAGGUGAUGAACGUGGAGUGGAGUUUUGUAUUGUGCUUCCUGUGUGAUGCUCAGAUCCACUCACUCAAUAUGAUGUGAGAGGCUUCAGUCAAUGUCAUGGAAAUUAGAGCCAGGGUGGAGCUUCACAAGUAUUUCAGUGAGAAAAGGGAGUAAGGAGCUGGAUAGCUGCAUUAUUAUUUCAAUAGGACAUACACUGUGUCCAGCAAAGAUUAACUUAGAGAAAGGAAGUUCCUUGUCAGAAAACUCUUGCCAGGAAGAUACUCAUCUGUGAGGACUCAGCAAGAAAUAUUCCCCACAACAAGGAAAGAUCUUCUGUUUUGCAAGGAAAGUAGAAAACGUCAUCUGUCAGGACCAGGACCGAGGAUGCCAACUCUGGGCCGAAGGCAUUCUCUGCAAGCAGAGGUCAUCCACCAUGGGGCCUGGCCAUGCAUCACCUCUUCUAGAGACCCUCUCAUACUUUGAACCUCUGAUUUCAGGGUGGACACAGGACAUUCUGAUGUAGCUAGAUGGACUCUUAUUAUCUGCGUGGAUCCCUGCAGUCAUCAGAGCACCAAGACAUUACCAUUGCCCUAAAGGAAGACUCGUGUUUUGGGCCACCAAUCGGAUGAAAGAGGAAUACAUGCAUGGACUGGACCAUCCAGCGUGUCAGUGAAUGAAUCUUCCUCGACAUGGAAGAUACGGGUUUUCCAGUAUUUCCUCACAACGGGACUUUUGUUCUACUGUGAGACUCCAUGCUGGACUCUAUGUUUUAGCUCGACCAGCAGGAACGCUAGGCACCAAGCUCACUAAUAACAAGGAGGUCUGGGAUUCCACAGAGGGUGACAGACAGCAGCUCCACACCACAAAGUCUGCUCACAAAAACUUCCUCCCUGGUGGCGCAAGGGAUUAAGACACAACCUAUGAAGCUAUCCACAGCCACUGCAGCACAAGUUCGAUCCCCAGCCAGGAAGGUGACCCACAUGGCGCAGCAGACCUCUCCUGACUCUCCCGCUGCUCCCCUCAGGAGUGUAUUUCAGUCAAUCUGCCUGAUCUGUUCUCCACUCUGUCUCUGGUGAAUCCUUUCACCCCCCCACACCUCUGGCCUGUAUGCCAG